rnacentral:rRNA from 1 species
UGGGGAAUAUUGCACAAUGGGCGCAAGCCUGAUGCGGCCAUGCCGCGUGUAUGAAGAAGGCCUUCGGGUUGUAAAGUACUUUCAGCGGGGAGGAAGGGAGUAAAGUUAAUACCUUUGCUCAUUGACGUUACCCGCAGAAGAAGCACCGGCUAACUCCGUGCCAGCAGCCGCGGUAAUACGGAGGGUGCAAGCGUUAAUCGGAAUUACUGGGCGUAAAGCGCACGCAGGCGGUUUGUUAAGUCAGAUGUGAAAUCCCCGGGCUCAACCUGGGAACUGCAUCUGAUACUGGCAAGCUUGAGUCUCGUAGAGGGGGGUAGAAUUCCAGGUGUAGCGGUGAAAUGCGUAGAGAUCUGGAGGAAUACCGGUGGCGAAGGCGGCCCCCUGGACGAAGACUGACGCUCAGGUGCGAAAGCGUGGGGAGCAAACA